UAGGGAAUUUUCCACAAUGGGCGAAAGCCUGAUGGAGCAACGCCGCGUGCAGGAUGAAGGCCCUCGGGUCGUAAACUGCUUUUAUGUGAGAAGAAUAUGACGGUAACACAUGAAUAAGGGUCGGCUAACUACGUGCCAGCAGCCGCGGUCAUACGUAGGACCCAAGCGUUAUCCGGAAUUACUGGGCGUAAAGAGUUGCGUAGGUGGCAUUAUAAGUGGAGCGUGAAAGCGUGCGGCUCAACCGCAUUACUGCGUUCCAAACUGGGAAGCUUGAGUGCGAGAGAGGUAGAUGGAAUUCCCAGUGUAGGGGUGAAAUGCGUAGAUAUUGGGAGGAACACCGAUGGCGAAGGCAGUCUACUGGCUCGUUACUGACACUAAGGCACGAAAGCGUGGGGAGCAAACG
rnacentral:rRNA from 1 species